UACGAAGGGGGCUAGCGUUGUUCGGAAUCACUGGGCGUAAAGCGCACGCAGGCGGAUCGUUAAGUCAGGGGUGAAAUCCCGAGGCUCAACCUCGGAACUGCCUUUGAUACUGGCGAUCUUCGAGUCCGGGAGAGGUGAGUGGAACUCCGAGUGUAGAGGUGAAAUUCGUAGAUAUUCGGAAAGAACACCAGUGGCGAAGGGCGGCUCACUGGCCCGGUACUGACGCUCAGGUGCGGAAAAGCGUGGGGAGCAACAGGGA
rnacentral:rRNA from 1 species